rnacentral:RNase_P_RNA from 1 species
GGCGACUGCUCGCGUCGGCCUCGGUCGAUUCGGGAGGAAAGUCCGAGCACGGUAGGAUACGGUGGUGGGUAACGCCCACCCGUCUCAACAAGCUCUUAGGAGUGCAGCUUGGGGCGAGGGAAAGUGCCACAGAGAAUGAACCGCCGAUGGCUUGGGCUUUGCCCAAGAACAGGUAAGGGUGAAAAGGUGCGGUAAGAGCGCACCGCUUGAUUGGUGACAAUCGAGGCUAGGUAAACCCCACCGCGUGCAAGCCCAAGCAGAGUCAUGUGUGAUCCGCACUUUUGGCUCGGGUAGGGUGCUGGGAGCAUGUGCUCCUCAUCGUGUUGGCAACAGCACGGGCAGAGAAAUAGUCGCUCACGCGAGCAGGUCUGAUCCACAGCCCCCGUCAAAAGGAAUGGGUCAGAAACCGAUCACGGGACAGAACUCGGCUUACCAGCUGC